GUGAAAUCAGAAGUGGAAGAGGCUUUAAAAGAAUGGCCAUGCUGCCAAACCUGUGAAAAAAUAUAACAAGCAUGUAGGCUUCACCCCAAAACACAAAGCAUUCAAAGUCUUCACACUUUGUAGGAAAAGGAUGCCCCUCGCAGAGAACCAAGUCCUCAAACUUCCAAGAUGUCCAUAAAAAGUCACAAAGUUGAGGGCAAACGGCACAGGCAACACGUUGCUCAAGAAAGAAAAAGGAGGAACAUGUGGGAAUCUGAAAACUGAUCUGAGGACCUCCUUGAACAGGUCACUUCCUCUGGUCUCACUUCUGAGGACAAGCAAAAUCAUCCUCUAUUUCAUGAGAUAUUGGUUAAAGCUUUGAAACUUGUAUGGGAUAUAUUGAGGAAGCAUAAUCUACUAAACUGUCCCUCAAGCUCUGGGUAAAUCUAUUUCAAAUAUUUAAUUUUUACAAAUCUAUGUAUCAAGAGAAGUCUCUCCAUGAGGGUCUAGUGUCUGUGAGAAAAUUUCAGUGUAGGGACAUUCUGAAGGUUUUUAUCUGACCUUUCUUUGGUUUUAAUCACUGAAGUUCUCGACAGCUUAAUAAGUUGAAGGUGCUGGGUCACAGUCUAACUUAAUAAGGCCUGCCACAGAGACUUGGUCACCUCUGAUUGCUCCCAUAAGUCUCAGCACAUCUGGUAUACUGUCCUUGGGUGAGAAAUGUUUUCCAUAACUUUCUUCUUGUUCACUAGCCUGCAUAUAAAUUGUUUUUAUUAACCCGAGAAUGAUACAGCACUGUAUAUUUGUGUGAGCUUUUGCCAUUUGCAGCUUUAU